rnacentral:rRNA from 1 species
GGCGAGUGAAGCGGCAAAAGCUCAAAUUUGAAAUCUGGCUCUUUCAGAGUCCGAGUUGUAAUUUGAAGAAGGUAUCUUUGGGUCUGGCUCUUGUCUAUGUUUCUUGGAACAGAACGUCACAGAGGGUGAGAAUCCCGUGCGAUGAGAUGAUCCAGGCCUAUGUAAAGUUCCUUCGAAGAGUCGAGUUGUUUGGGAAUGCAGCUCUAAGUGGGUGGUAAAUUCCAUCUAAAGCUAAAUAUUGGCGAGAGACCGAUAGCGAACAAGUACAGUGAUGGAAAGAUGAAAAGAACUUUGAAAAGAGAGUGAAAAAGUACGUGAAAUUGUUGAAAGGGAAGGGCUUGAGAUCAGACUUGGUAUUUUGUAUGUUACUUCUUCGGGGGUGGCCUCUACAGUUUAUCGGGCCAGCAUCAGUUUGGGCGGUAGGAGAAUUGCGUUGGAAUGUGGCACGGCUUCGGUUGUGUGUUAUAGCCUUCGUCGAUACUGCCAGCCUAGACUGAGGACUGCGGUUUAUACCUAGGAUGUUGGCAUAAUGAUCUUAAGUCGCCCGUCUUGAACCACGGACCC